rnacentral:rRNA from 1 species
GAUGAACGCUGGCGGCGUGCCUAAUACAUGCAAGUCGAACGAGGUGCUUUUGUAGCAAUACGAGAGUAUCCUAGUGGCGAACGGGUGAGUAACGCGUUGGUGACCUGCCCCAAAGUGUGGGAUAACAGUUCGAAAGGAUUGCUAAUACCGCAUGUGGUCUCUGGGUUUAGAAACCGGUGACUAAAGGAGUAAUCCGCUUUGGGAGGGACCUGCGUCCCAUCAGCUAGUUGGUGAGGUAACGGCUCACCAAGGCGACGACGGGUAGGGGACCUGAGAGGGUGGCCCCCCACAAUGGAACUGAAACACGGUCCAUACACCUACGGGUGGCAGCAGUAGGGAAUAUUGCUCAAUGGGCGAAAGCCUGAAGCAGCAACGCCGCGUGCACGAUGAAGGCCUUCGGGUCGUAAAGUGCCUUUCUACGAGAUGAGAAAGGACAGUAUCGUAGGAAUAAGUCUCGGCUAACUACGUGCCAGCAGCCGCGGUAAGAC